CUUAACCAUAGCAGUGCCCAUCCUUUGUAGGUAAACCUCAUUGUUAAAACUUAAAUAAUUAUGUGUGAGGAUGAAUAGGGCCAGUUCUGUGAUAAUUUGUGACUGUAUUUUUGGUUGUUGGCAUAAGAGAGGAAAUAGAAGCAAGCAAUGAUGCCAUCUGUAUGUGGAAUGUGGUUGUACAGAGAUUCCACAUCCAUGGUUACAAGGAUAGUGUUAGCAGGGAGAUUGGUGAUUUGACUGAGUUUGUUGAGGAUGUCGGCUGUGUCUUUAAUGAAGCUGUUGGUGACUAGAGGUUUUAGGGUAUUUUCUACCAGUCCUGAGAUCUGUUCUGUGAGAGUUCCCAUUCCUGUAAUUAUGGGUCUUCCAGGAUUACCGGCUUUGUGG